AUAUAAAUGUGCAUUUUUUUAUAAAUGAAUCUUGUGUAUUGUAAUUAAAAUACACACAAAAUUACCAUCAAAACACACAAUUGUAAUUUCAUAAAUUUAAGUACAAAUACCUUUAUAGAAACACAGUCUAGAAAAUAUAAAAACUCUCUUCCACUUCACUUUUCUCUCCAUUUUAAUUUGUUUCUCAUUCAGGAGUUAGGAAGAUUUUUUAUUGAUGUUUGUACUGAGUUAACGCCACUUUGAAUUUGAUAUUUAUAUUUCUGCAUCAUUAAGAAAGAUCAAUAAAAAUCAGUCAAUUGUUAUGAAGAAUAUAUGUGGUAAAUGUCCAUUACUCAAUGUAAUUCAAUAUUAUUCAUAGCCCCAUUUAUAUACUCAUUCAUGUACCUAUGCAUAUAUGUAAUAAUGCUAGAAUCUUAUGAGAUUGUUCAUCACCUAUAAAUAGAUGUUCAUCUUGUACCAA
rnacentral:lncRNA from 1 species